UAAAAAUUUAAUAAACAUCACUUUUCAAUUCAAAUUCAAAUUUCUUACUCACAAGUUCUCCUUUUCACGAGAAUAAAUUAAUCAAUUAAACUUAAUUGAAUUUAAGAAAGGAGAAAUCGAAGGAGGUGAAAGAAAAAAAAGUUCGAUUCGAAAAACACAGUAACCGGCAAUUAAAUCCAUGGAAUUCGGAAUCGGGUUCGAGGAAGAUAAUUAUCCGACCGUGUCCCAUUGUCCGUGAAAUCUCUCCCCUCCUCCCUGAUUACCGCAAUUGUGUCGUCCCGUAAUUUUUCGAGGACAGGUUCAAACAUUGGCCUGUGAAACAAUGGAAGAAGGCGGAGAAAAAUUGCGAGUCCAUUCGUCGUGGAAAAUCGUGCAGGGAUUUCGAGUAUCGAUCCUUCCUCUCCCCUCUCCAACCGGAAACACUUUUGGUAACCGAGUUUUAGUAACUCGAGAAAGCAAAGUAAGUUUAAAAAGAGAGAUUGUAUGUACCUGUUUGAGAAGAAUUUAAUUUUAUAUUCUCUGGAUAUAAGUCAAAUUUGAUAUUCGAAACUUAUUUGCUCAGAGAAGAAUAAUUAGAAAAAGAAAAAAAUGAAUUUUAAUAGAUUGAAAGAGAUUUUAAAUUUUUAAAUUUCUUAAACUUGCACGAUGGAUAAUUAUGGAUAAUUAUUGCAGAGGAUUUGAAACGAGUAUAAUUGCUUCCAUACACAGGAAUUUCAACAGGGAACUCCGACAAACUAUUUAUAAUACCGUUUUCCCGAGUCUGGCUGCAUGUCAGCAGCUAAUUACGUUCAAUUACCAGGCGUUGGUUAAUUAAAACUUCUAAUUAAUUAGUCCCUUAAGCAUCGUCGCGAUCCAGCCGCCACUUCAAAACUUCCACGGAUUUUCUUUUCCAAUCUAUCUGUCCUAAGAUUCUUCCCUAUGUAAUCGACCUGAUUCCUUUUUCAGUUUAAAAGCGAUACAGUUAUUUCGUAUUAUAAGAUUUAACGAACAUUUCAUUUCUUUUUUUUUUUUUACCUCAUUGGAUUAUUUUCUUAUUAAGAAUUUGAACGAAUAAUCUCUCAUGCUCGUGAAUCUCUUAGAUAAAAUAUCCAUGUUCUGAGAGAGGUAAUAAUACAACAUCAAAAUUAUAAAUUUUUUGAAGUAAUAUAUUGAAAAGAUUCUUCAUCUGCAAUUUAAAUUAAAUUAAAUUAUAACGAGUUAACAAAGUUAAGAUUUAUCCUUAUCAAAAUACACAAUCCAACGUUUCACACUUGUCGAAAUUCAAAUCGCAUGCAUAAUUAUCAAAUUGGAUCAAAUUAAUACACGAGAUGCGAAAGUUAGCUGCCUGUCGUCGAGCAACCCGCCGAACAACAAUCUUUCUAUCAAAAUCCGAACUUUUUCACCGAAGAAAUCUUCGAAACUUAGCUAAAUUUCUCAUUGAAAGAAGUAAUCCAUAUAAUAGCAAUCAUAUGUAAAUCGAAUUUUGAAAUUUGAUCAUCAUAUCAUAAAGGACAAAAAUGUAAAAGUUAGCUGCCUGUCGUCGAGCAACCCGUCGAGCAAUAAUCGUCUCUACACAUAAAGUUUCAACUUUGCACGUUCUAAAUUUCUAAAAUUCGAGCUCUUUCACCGAAGAAAUGAUCAAAUUUGCUUCCAUUCUCAUCGAAUCAUAACUCAACUGUCAAAUCCAGCUGCCAAAUUUCUGAUUGGUGAGAGAAUAAUUCAAAUAACCGCGACAGGUGAACAACCUCGACAGAGCUUGGCAGAGCUCACCGGUGUCUUUUCUGCCGCAUUCCAAGGUGCAUCACCGCUAUUUAAAUCCCAAUCUCUCUCUCUCACACACAUACACACAUGUCUCCAUCUCUCUCGAAUCGAUAAACACUCGAGAAGUCGAGGCGUUGGACCGAGAUUUCGAACUGGUAAUUUGGAGAGUUGGGGGAGUGAGUUUGAAAUAAAGGAUCGUUCGAUUAAAUAUGAAAUUAUUCGUAAACUGUUCGAUCGUUCCCAUUAACGAGCAUCCACUAACUCCUAAUCCUGACCCACGAUUUGUAUUAUAAAAUCGAUAACUGUAUUAUAGAAAUGUGUCGAAUGGCUGGAAGGAACAAUUUUGGAGAAUUUGGACGUUUGU
rnacentral:lncRNA from 1 species